rnacentral:piRNA from 1 species
UNUAAUAAGCAGGUGUCUGGUUACUCAAUA